rnacentral:rRNA from 1 species
AGCGAACGCUGGCGGCAGGCCUAACACAUGCAAGUCGAACGAAGUCUUCGGACUUAGUGGCGGACGGGUGAGUAACACGUGGGAACGUGCCUUUAGGUUCGGAAUAACUCAGGGAAACUUGUGCUAAUACCGAAUGUGCCCUUCGGGGGAAAGAUGUAUCGCCUUUAGAGCGGCCCGCGUCUGAUGAGCUAGUUGGUGAGGUAAAGGCUCACCAAGGCGACGAUCAGUAGCUGGUCUGAGAGGAUGAUCAGCCACAUUGGGACUGAGACACGGCCCAAACUCCUACGGGAGGCAGCAGUGGGGAAUCUUGCGCAAUGGGCGAAAGCCUGACGCAGCCAUGCCGCGUGAAUGAUGAAGGUCUUAGGAUUGUAAAAUUCUUUCACCGGGGACGAUAAUGACGGUACCCGGAGAAGAAGCCCCGGCUAACUUCGUGCCAGCCGCCGCCGUAAUAC